GUGGGCAGCACAUAUACCAAAAUUGGAAUGAUACAGAGAGGAUUAACAUGGCCCCUGCUCAGGGAUGACACAGAUUGAUGAAGUGUUGCAAAAUUUUUUU